CAGAAAAGGAUGGUUGUCGUAGUA
rnacentral:siRNA from 1 species